AGCCAGGGCAUCUGCUCCAUGUUGUUUGGAUAUUCAUUAAGACCCCCGGCCAACUCACAGAUGGAGAUGAUGAUCUGCUGAGUCCAGAUGGUGCCUGUGAGUAAAGCAGGUUCCAGAUGUCCCUCGCUGCAGCAAUGUCUCCAGUUCCUCCUGCUGUGUUCUGAAACCGUUCCCAGUUCAGCUGAUUUGCCAGCACUUCCACAUUCUGAAGUUUGGGAAGGAAGAAGACGUUUGCGUCUCUUUUAAACUCCAGGAGGAGAGGGCAGAUCUGCUGUGCAGCACCGAUGAUGACCUGAACAUAUUCAAAGCUGAUCUCUUCAGGCAGGUGCAACACCUUCAUGAACACAUGCAGUGAGGUGACCGCCAGCUUCUCCACUGCAUCCAGGAAACAGUCAAGCUUCUUCAAACCUCCCAGAGUGUCCUUCAACACUUCAUCCAGCUCCUUCUCUAGCUCUGCACACCUUUCGUCAUCAUUUAGGGUUACCUUGCUCUUUAGAUAUUCCACAAAAGCCUCACCUUUGUCCUCCGACUUAGUAACAUGGCUGAUGUCAAGGUCAAUUUUGUCUGCCCUGCCCUUGAUGUCCAUCAUCAUUUCUAACUCCGUCUUUCUCGAUGUCUCCCAUUUUGGGAACAUAUGACAGAAUUUUCUCAUUGUGUCGAUGUAAUUGAGAGGAUCUGUGAUGAAGCGGCACAAGACCUGUUUUAGUUCCUCUCUGUAAGACAAAACAUCUAUUUUGAGAUUUAAAAACCAGUUCAAACAUACAUACCAGUAUAGGACAACCUGUUCCUAUGUAUGAAAUAGGUGUUCACGUUUCUUGGUUUUAAUGUCAGAGAGCCAAGUUUAAAGUCUUCAUGACCUAGUAAUGGUUUUAACCCCAAAAUGUACAAUGCUCAUCAUAUUUAUUAUCUAACAAAACCUGAUCCUAUAUAUGUCUAUAUACUUGUCCUUAAUUUUACAGCUUAGAAGAACAGAAUAAAAAAAACAAGAAAUGAAUAACAUAAGAGUCUAAGAGCUUCUCUGCAUCUUCAGUGUGAAACGUCAGGUGCAGUUUGUUUUUAACUGAUUGCAACACCUGCUUUAAAGUUUUUCAAAAUUCAAUCGAAGGAGACAAAAAAUGACAAUAUAAAGACUGUCAGUCAGUAUAGCCUUCCUUAACCCUUUCCUCAGGUUAAUUCAGGACCAGCUCUCCGUUUAAAGGGUUAGAUUCUAUCUGCCUAUUAGCAUUCCACCUAACAGGUUUCAGCAGAAUAAUUAAGCUGGUGUCGAGGAAUACUCGCCUAGGUCCUAACUGUCUUCUUCCAAACGUCUUACCCCUCUUACUUCAAUAAAUACUCUCUCACUAAGCAGCCCUCCUAAGUAGUAGAAUUGAUUUAUUGAUCACGUUUGUUAACAACAACUUUCCUCUUAAAACUGUGGCACUUGUUGAUAUUCCUCGGUUCAUUUUAGAGGUUUGGAAAACUAACCUCAGGGGUAAUGUUUAAAUAACUAGUUGGAUUAAAGUAACCUUUAAGAACCAUUAGAUUUAAUGCACACAAUCAGCUUAACUUUUUACCACUAUGCAGAAAAGGUGAAUCAUAAUAAUCUCAUAAGACGUCUCUUUAAAUGCAAUAUAGCGUUUUAUUAAGUAAUUAUUAGCAGGGGCACAGCAUUAAUUCAUGAUUAAACAAUUAUUUGAUUAUUUCUAACUAAGCUGAGCGUACCUAAGAAUCUUCUCUAAUUAGUAAAUUAGGAGAGAGAGCGGACAGCGCGGCCACCG